GAAAGUAAGCAAGGGCGCAUGGCGGAUGCCUUGGCUCUCGGAGGCGAUGAAGGACGUGAUAAGCUGCGAUAAGCUUUGGGGAGGUGCAAAUGACCUUUGAUCCAGAGAUUUCCGAAUGGGACAACCCAAUAUCUUGAAGAGGUAUUAUCCAACGUUGUUGGAGGCUAACGCAGGGAACUGAAACAUCUUAGUACCUGCAGGAAAAGAAAAUAAACAAUGAUUCCCCCAGUAGUGGCGAGCGAACGGGGAACAGCCCAAACCAUCCAUGUUACGGCAUGGGUGGGGUUGUAGGACUACGCCGUUGCAUGAAGACAUCAGAGAAGAACUUUCUGGAAAGAAAGACCAUAGAGCAUGACAGUUGCGUAUUCGAAUGUUGUCGAAGCAUAGUAGUAUCCUGAGUAGCGCGGAGCACGAGGAAUUCUGCGUGAAUCUGCCGGGACCAUCCGGUAAGGCUAAAUACUCCCGAGAGACCGAUAGCGAACCAGUACCGUGAGGGAAAGGUGAAAAGCACUUCGAACAGAAGAGUGAAAUAGUUCCUGAAACCGUGCGCCUACAAGCGGUCGGAGCUCGUUAAUGAGUGACGGCGUGCCUUUUGCAUAAUGAACCUACGAGUUGCCUUUGCCGGCAAGGUUAAGUGUGACGACACACGUAUCCGAAGCGAAAGCGAGUCUGAAGAGGGCGUAUAGUCGGCAGUGGCAGACGCGAAACCAAGUGAUCUACCCUUGGCCAGGUUGAAGGCUGGGUAACACCAGCUGGAGGACCGCACCAAUAAGCGUUGAAAAGCUUCUGGAUGAGCUGAGGGUAGGGGUGAAAGGCUAAUCAAACUUGGAGAUAGCUCGUACUCCCCGAAAUGCAUUUAGGUGCAGCCUUGCGGGUUACUGAUGUGAGGUAGAGCGACUGAUAAGAUGCGAGGGCUUCACCGCCUAUCAAGUCUUGACAAACUCCGAAUGCGCAUCAGUUCUACCGCAGGAGUGAGGGCAUGGGUGCUAAGGUCCGUGCCCGAGAGGAGAAGAAUCCGGACCACCUGCUAAGGUCCCGAAAUGACAGCUAAGUUAAACUAACGAAGUCUGACUGCUAAGACAGCUAGGAUGUUGGCUUGGAAGCAGCCAUUCAUUUAAAGAGUGCGUAACAGCUCACUAGUCGAGGAGUCGGGCGUGGAUAAUAAUCGGGUAUGAAGUUGUCUACCGAAGCAGUGGGAUCAUUAAUAUGAUCGGUAGGGGAGCAUUCCAGUCAGCGUCGAAGGCGUACCGUGAGGUAUUCUGGAGCGUCUGGAAAAGCAAAUGUAGGUAUAAGUAACGAUAAAGGGGGCGGGAAACCCCCUCGCCGAAAGACUAAGGUUUCCUGAUCAACGCUAAUCGGAUCAGGGUCAGUCGGGUCCUAAGGCUCAGCCGAACGGCGAUGCCGAUGGCAGAAACGGUUAAUAUUCCGUUACUACCUUCAGGAGUGACGUGGAGACGCAGUAGUGACAGUGCCGCCAUCUGACGGAAUAGAUGGUUGAAGGGUGUAGGAGUCGAUCAUGGCAGGCAAAUCCACCAUGAGAUCCGAACCUGAUAGUAUGCCGCGUCCUUCGGGACAAGGCAAUAGUGCGCGUAAGCAUGCUGCCGAGAAAAUCCGCUAAACUUAAUCCUGGAGGUACCCGUACCGCAAACGGACACACGUAGUCGGGAUGAAUAUUCUAAGGCGCUUGAGUGAUUCACGGUUAAGGAACUAGGCAAACUGACCCUGUAACUUCGGGAUAAAGGGUCCCUACCCUUUUAUGGGAGGGCGCAGAGAAUCGGUCCAGGCAACUGUUUAACAAAAACACAGGGCUGUGCCAAAUCGAAAGAUCCAGUAUACAGCCUGACACCUGCCCGGUGCUGGAAGGUUAAGAGGAGAUGUCAUCGAUAAGAGAAGCGUUGAAUUGAAGCCCCAGUAAACGGCGGCCGUAACUAUAACGGUCCUAAGGUAGCGAAAUUCCUUGUCGGGUAAGUUCCGACC
rnacentral:rRNA from 1 species